rnacentral:lncRNA from 1 species
AGAAACAGUGUUCAAACAUAGAUUUCAUAAGUAUCAAAAAUAUAAAUGCUAAACUAUUACAAGCAUUCGUCUUAAUUUUUCUUUUACAUUACAUUUUCCAAGUACUACUAGAUUAUUACAAAUUACAUUAAGUUUGUUCCUUUCAUUCUAUAACCUUAGCUAGACCACUUCAGGUACCGCUAUCUCUGGUCUCGGUGGUAGGGUGCUAUCUACUGAGCUACGCCCUUUCCUCGCGCCGCUGCGGCGCUCACGUGAAAAUCUGAAAUCCCCAAAAUA